AGAUAGAGAGAUAGAGAUAGAUAGAGAGAUAGAGAUAGAUAGAGAGAUAGAGAUAGAUAGAGAUAGAUAGAGAUAGAGAUAGAGAUAGAUAGAGAUAGAUAGAGAUAGAUAGAGAUAGAGAUAGAUAGAGAUAGAGAUAGAUAGAGAUAGAGAUAGAUAGAGAUAGAUAGAGAUAGAUAGAGAUAGAUAGAGAUAGAUAGAG